rnacentral:rRNA from 1 species
AACGGCCAUAUCACGUUGAAACACCGGUUCUCGUACGAUCACCGAAGUUAAGCAACGUCGAGCCUGCCCAGUACCUAGAUGGGUGACCGCUUGGGAAUAGCAGGUGAUUG